UUUAAGAAGGUAGUUAAUAUUUUUUGUUUAUAAAAUUGACUUCUACUUACUUUACAAGGCCAUAAAUAAGACAAAUUAAAGUAGAUAAGAAAAAUAAAUAAUAUAAACAUCUCUAGGAAAGAGUUGAGAAUAAUUUGGAGCAUAAAUUACUUUAAAAAAUCAAAAUUUGAUAUUAAAAGAGGACAUGUUGUGCACUAGAGUGAAAAUCAAAUCCCAAAGUACAAAAUUAUACACCUAUGGCAUUUCAAAUGUUUAUUGGUUGAUUAAAAAUAAGAUUUGGAAGCAAAAUAAAGAGAGGUUUUUUGAGUAUUAGAUUUGAGUGAUUUAAAUUU
rnacentral:lncRNA from 1 species